rnacentral:rRNA from 2 species
AUACAUGCAAGUCGAACGCGUUGGCCCAAUUGAUUGAUGGUGCUUGCACCUGAUUGAUUUUGGUCGCCAACGAGUGGCGGACGGGUGAGUAACACGUAGGUAACCUGCCCAGAAGCGGGGGACAACAUUUGGAAACAGAUGCUAAUACCGCAUAACAGCGUUGUUCGCAUGAACAACGCUUAAAAGAUGGCUUCUCGCUAUCACUUCUGGAUGGACCUGCGGUGCAUUAGCUUGUUGGUGGGGUAACGGCCUACCAAGGCGAUGAUGCAUAGCCGAGUUGAGAGACUGAUCGGCCACAAUGGGACUGAGACACGGCCCAUACUCCUACGGGAGGCAGCAGUAGGGAAUCUUCCACAAUGGGCGCAAGCCUGAUGGAGCAACACCGCGUGAGUGAAGAAGGGUUUCGGCUCGUAAAGCUCUGUUGUUAAAGAAGAACACGUAUGAGAGUAACUGUUCAUACGUUGACGGUAUUUAACCAGAAAGUCACGGCUAACUACGUGCCAGCAGCCGCGGUAAUACGUAGGUGGCAAGCGUUAUCCGGAUUUAUUGGGCGUAAAG